rnacentral:rRNA from 1 species
ACGCUCGACACCUACGAGGCAGCAGUGGGGAAUAUUGCACAAUGGGGGAAACCCUGAUGCAGCGACGCCGCGUGGAGGAAGAAGGUCUUCGGAUUGUAAACUCCUGUUGUUGGGGAAAAANGGAUGGUACCCAACAAGGAAGUGACGGCUAACUACGUACCAGCAGCCGCGGUAAUCUGAGCGGGCUGGCAAGGC